CCUUCACUUCCCGUAACGUAACACAGUAGAACCUAACGUACCUCAGCUGCCGCAAAGAAGGGGUGCUACAGGUUGGGGCCGGAGGCAGCAAUGUAACCAACUAAAAAGCCACAUUUCUUGCUUCCCUUGCAACUAAGGGUAAUUUCAAUUGUUGCCAAUGAACUGUAAGAAAAAGUUUGCUGACCCCUGGACUAGAGCAACACCUUCAUUUUAUAUGUGAGGAAAAUGAGGCCCAGGAAGGUUAACAAAAGAUCCCGCAUGGUAAUAUGCGGGUUUUUAUUCCAAACCCAGCAGCCCCAUGAUAAUGGCCAAAGAUGAAAAAGCAGAUACUGGAAUUACUUCCAUGCAGAUCUGGAUAUGAGUCAUAAGGAAACCAUGCACACCCAAG